rnacentral:rRNA from 1 species
UUGAAGAGUUUGAUCAUGGCUCAGAUUGAACGCUGGCGGCAGGCCUAACACAUGCAAGUCGAACGGUAACAGAAAGCAGCUUGCUGCUUUGCUGACGAGUGGCGGACGGGUGAGUAAUGUCUGGGAAACUGCCUGAUGGAGGGGGAUAACUACUGGAAACGGUAGCUAAUACCGCAUAACGUCGCAAGACCAAAGAGGGGGACCUUAGGGCCUCUUGCCAUCGGAUGUGCCCAGAUGGGAUUAGCUAGUAGGUGGGGUAACGGCUCACCUAGGCGACGAUCCCUAGCUGGUCUGAGAGGAUGACCAGCCACACUGGAACUGAGACACGGUCCAGACUCCUACGGGAGGCAGCAGUGGGGAAUAUUGCACAAUGGGCGCAAGCCUGAUGCAGCCAUGCCGCGUGUAUGAAGAAGGCCUUCGGGUUGUAAAGUACUUUCAGCGGGGAGGAAGGGAGUAAAGUUAAUACCUUUGCUCAUUGACGUUACCCGCAGAAGAAGCACCGGCUAACUCCGUGCCAGCAGCCGCGGUAAUACGGAGGGUGCAAGCGUUAAUCGGAAUUACUGGGCGUAAAGCGCACGCAGGCGGUUUGUUAAGUCAGAUGUGAAAUCCCCGGGCUCAACCUGGGAACUGCAUCUGAUACUGGCAAGCUUGAGUCUCGUAGAGGGGGGUAGAAUUCCAGGUGUAGCGGUGAAAUGCGUAGAGAUCUGGAGGAAUACCGGUGGCGAAGGCGGCCCCCUGGACGAAGACUGACGCUCAGGUGCGAAAGCGUGGGGAGCAAACAGGAUUAGAUACCCUGGUAGUCCACGCCGUAAACGAUGUCGACUUGGAGGUUGUGCCCUUGAGGCGUGGCUUCCGGAGCUAACGCGUUAAGUCGACCGCCUGGGGAGUACGGCCGCAAGGUUAAAACUCAAAUGAAUUGACGGGGGCCCGCACAAGCGGUGGAGCAUGUGGUUUAAUUCGAUGCAACGCGAAGAACCUUACCUGGUCUUGACAUCCACGGAAGUUUUCAGAGAUGAGAAUGUGCCUUCGGGAACCGUGAGACAGGUGCUGCAUGGCUGUCGUCAGCUCGUGUUGUGAAAUGUUGGGUUAAGUCCCGCAACGAGCGCAACCCUUAUCCUUUGUUGCCAGCGGUCCGGCCGGGAACUCAAAGGAGACUGCCAGUGAUAAACUGGAGGAAGGUGGGGAUGACGUCAAGUCAUCAUGGCCCUUACGACCAGGGCUACACACGUGCUACAAUGGCGCAUACAAAGAGAAGCGACCUCGCGAGAGCAAGCGGACCUCAUAAAGUGCGUCGUAGUCCGGAUUGGAGUCUGCAACUCGACUCCAUGAAGUCGGAAUCGCUAGUAAUCGUGGAUCAGAAUGCCACGGUGAAUACGUUCCCGGGCCUUGUACACACCGCCCGUCACACCAUGGGAGUGGGUUGCAAAAGAAGUAGGUAGCUUAACCUUCGGGAGGGCGCUUACCACUUUGUGAUUCAUGACUGGGGUGAAGUCGUAACAAGGUAACCGUAGGGGAACCUGCGGUUGGAUCACCUCCUU